GACGAACGCUGGCGGCGUGCUUAACACAUGCAAGUCGAACGGAAAGGCCCUGCUUUUGUGGGGUGCUCGAGUGGCGAACGGGUGAGUAACACGUGAGUAACCUGCCCUUGACUUUGGGAUAACUUCAGGAAACUGGGGCUAAUACCGGAUAGGAGCUCCUGCUGCAUGGAGGGGGUUGGAAAGUCUCGGCGGUCGGGGAUGGACUGGCGGCUGAUCAGCUUGUUGGUCGGGUAGGGGCUUACCAAGGCUUUGACUGGUAGGCGGCCUGAGAGGGUGACCGGCCACAAUGGGACUGCGAUACGGCGCAGACUGCUACGGGGGGCAGCAGUGGCGAGUAUUGCACAGUGGGCGGGAGCCUGAUGCAGCGACGCCGCGUGCGGGAUGACGGCCUUCGGGUUGUGAACCGCUUUCGCCUGUGACGAAGCGUGAGUGACGGUAAUGGGUGAAGAAGCACCGGCUAACUACGUG
rnacentral:rRNA from 1 species